rnacentral:rRNA from 1 species
GGCCACUGCUAUGGGGGUCCGACUAAGCCAUGCGAGUCAUGGGGCGCGCUCUGCGCGCACCGGCGGACGGCUCAGUAACACGUCGGUAACCUACCCUCGGGAGGGGGAUAACCCCGGGAAACUGGGGCUAAUCCCCCAUAGGCCUGGGGUACUGGAAGGUCCCCAGGCCGAAAGGGGCUCUGCCCGCCCGAGGAUGGGCCGGCGGCCGAUUAGGUAGUUGGUGGGGUAACGGCCCACCAAGCCGAAGAUCGGUACGGGCCAUGAGAGUGGGAGCCCGGAGAUGGACACUGAGACACGGGUCCAGGCCCUACGGGGCGCAGCAGGCGCGAAACCUCCGCAAUGCGGGAAACCGCGACGGGGGGACCCCCAGUGCCGUGGCACAGCCACGGCUUUUCCGGAGUGUAAAAAGCUCCGGGAAUAAGGGCUGGGCAAGGCCGGUGGCAGCCGCCGCGGUAAUACCGGCGGCCCAAGUGGUGGCCGCUAUUAUUGGGCCUAAAGCGUCCGUAGCCGGGCCCGUAAGUCCCUGGCGAAAUCCCACGGCUCAACCGUGGGGCUUGCUGGGGAUACUGCGGGCCUUGGGACCGGGAGAGGCGGGGGGUACCCCUGGGGUAGGGGUGAAAUCCUAUAAUCCCAGGGGGACCGCCAGUGGCGAAGGCGCCCCGCUGGAACGGGUCCGACGGUGAGGGACGAAGGCCAGGGGAGCGAACCGGAUUAGAUACCCGGGUAGUCCUGGCUGUAAAGGAUGCGGGCUAGGUGUCGGGCGAGCUUCGAGCUCGCCCGGUGCCGGAGGGAAGCCGUUAAGCCCGCCGCCUGGGGAGUACGGCCGCAAGGCUGAAACUUAAAGGAAUUGGCGGGGGAGCACUACAAGGGGUGGAGCGUGCGGUUUAAUUGGAUUCAACGCCGGGAACCUCACCGGGGGCGACGGCAGGAUGAAGGCCAGGCUGAAGGUCUUGCCGGACGCGCCGAGAGGAGGUGCAUGGCCGCCGUCAGCUCGUACCGUGAGGCGUCCACUUAAGUGUGGUAACGAGCGAGACCCGCGCCCCCAGUUGCCAGUCCUCCCCGCUGGGGAGGAGGCACUCUGGGGGGACCGCCGGCGAUAAGCCGGAGGAAGGAGCGGGCGACGGUAGGUCAGUAUGCCCCGAAACCCCGGGCUACACGCGCGCUACAAUGGGCGGGACAA